AUUGAACGCUGGCGGCAGGCCUAACACAUGCAAGUCGAGCGGAUGAAGUGAGCUUGCUCCUGGAUUCAGCGGCGGACGGGUGAGUAAUGCCUAGGAAUCUGCCUGGUAGUGGGGGAUAACGUCCGGAAACGGGCGCUAAUACCGCAUACGUCCUGAGGGAGAAAGUGGGGGAUCUUCGGACCUCACGCUAUCAGAUGAGCCUAGGUCGGAUUAGCUAGUUGGUGGGGUAAGGGCCUACCAAGGCGACGAUCCGUAACUGGUCUGAGAGGAUGAUCAGUCACACUGGAACUGAGACACGGUCCAGACUCCUACGGGAGGCAGCAGUGGGGAAUAUUGGACAAUGGGCGAAAGCCUGAUCCAGCCAUGCCGCGUGUGUGAAGAAGGUCUUCGGAUUGUAAAGCACUUUAAGUUGGGAGGAAGGGCAGUAAGUUAAUACCUUGCUGUUUUGACGUUACCAACAGAAUAAGCACCGGCUAACUUCGUG
rnacentral:rRNA from 1 species